rnacentral:sRNA from 1 species
CUCCUUGCUGGGCCCUCUUGAACUCACAGCUCCAGGAAACUGGGAGACCUGUCCCUGAUGUUCCAGGGAGUCUCUGCUGCCCACCAUCUCUGCCCCCCAGGGCCCAGGAGCCACCAUGUGGCGAUGUCCACUGGGGCUACUGCUGUUGCUGCCGCUGGCUGGCCACGUGGCUCUGGGUGCCCAGCAGGGUCGUGGGCGCCGGGAGCUAGCACCGGGUCUGCACCUGCGGGGCAUCCGGGACGCGGGAGGCCGGUACUGCCAGGAGCAGGACCUGUGCUGCCGCGGCCGUGCCGACGACUGUGCCCUGCCCUACCUGGGCGCCAUCUGUUACUGUGACCUCUUCUGCAACCGCACGAUCUCCGACUGCUGCCCUGACUUCUGGGACUUCUGCCUCGGCGUGCCACCCCCUUUUCCCCCGAUCCAAGGAUGUAUGCAUGGAGGUCGUAUCUAUCCAAUCUUGGGAACCUACUGGGACAACUGUAACCGUUGCACCUGCCAGGAGAACAGGCAGUGGCAGUGUGACCAAGAACCAUGCCUGGUGGAUCCAGACAUGAUCAAAGCCAUCAACCAGGGCAACUAUGGGUGAGAGGCCCUAGAAGCACCCUCAGUGGGCACACAUGCAUACUCAUGCAUGUAUACACGCAUGCUGUGCUGUGAGGCACGUCCAGCAGGCCACUCCUACACCCCUACACCCAGAUUUGAUUGUGUGUGCACUCAGCCACUGUGCGUCUCUCCCACCCACAUGCACCUACCCCAAGGACCCUGAGCCCUGGCAGAUCUGUGACUUCCUUCCAUCCCCUCUCCUUCAGCUGGCAGGCUGGGAACCACAGCGCCUUCUGGGGCAUGACCCUGGAUGAGGGCAUUCGCUACCGCCUGGGCACCAUCCGCCCAUCUUCCUCGGUCAUGAACAUGCAUGAAAUUUAUGUAAGUCCAUCCUUUCCCACAAUCCUGCCAUCUCCCCAUGGCUCAGAACCUCAGGGAUGCUGGCCCUGUGCCCUGCUCCUCCAAGGGCCUGGACCAUCCCCUACUACAAGGCUGUGUGUCCCUGGGCAAGUUACUCCCCUUCUCUGGGCCUCUGUUCCCUGCUUCCACAGGAUGUGCUGCGCUGGAAGAACUGAUGCUCAGAUUGAAUUUUGUGGUCCUAGCAUCGGCUCCCCCCUGAUCUCUCCAGCCUGGGAAAAAUGCUGUUGGUCUCAGUACAGCUGGGUUAGGGCCCAAGGGGACAGGGGGUCACCUUGGUAUUUUGGGAAGGGAAGGACACACACUCCUCCAGCUGUGGCCAGAGGGCAGCAGUUCUCGGAAAUAAACGCCGAUUCAGCGGAACCCCAAGGGAGGAGAGGGCUUCUGCCUUCCCACCAGUGGGACCCUCUGGGAGAGGAAUGAGAACCAGGCCCAAAGUGAAAGGGUGAGGAAGGGGAGCUUCAGCAGGCCUGGACUGGGACAUGUGCUGGAGCAUUUGUCCAUCAGCGGCAGGCAGCGGGGAGGCAGGGGCUGGCAGGAGUGGCCCUCCCUGCGGAGACUUCGGCCUUGGGUGACCAGACCCUGGCCCUGCCCUUAUUCCCCUGGGCCUCUGGCUAUUUUCUGCCUCCUGCUGUUUGUGUUGGCAGUCUGCCUGGUCACGGGACCCUACUGCCUCUUCCCUCCCCUGCCCUUUGGGGCCUGAAGCUAAGGCCUGAAGAAAGCUAAGGCCGAUCAGAAGGUGAAGAGGAAAGAGACAGGGGUUGAGAAUGGAAAGCUGAGGGACCUGGCCUGGCCACUUCUCUGUGCCUGGCCUCAGCUGCCUCAUCUGGGAAGCAGGACUAGUCACCCCCACCUGAUACCUGGGAGGCACUAAAUGGUGCUUGGUUCUUCAACACAAGUCAAAGUUGGAGGCAGCUGGAAUCCUGCAGUAGCAGGAGGGCUCAAGAUUAAACUGCAGAAGGCCCUGGACUUGGUGGCCCUCCAGUGCCAAUGGGCACCUGAGGGGCAGGCCAGGGCAGAGCAGGAGGCAGACAGGGCAACCUUUAUCCUGCAGACAGUGCUGAACCCAGGGGAGGUGCUUCCCACGGCCUUCGAGGCCUCUGAGAAGUGGCCCAACCUGAUUCAUGAGCCUCUUGACCAGGGCAACUGCGCAGGCUCCUGGGCCUUCUCCACAGCGGCUGUGGCAUCCGAUCGUGUCUCAAUCCAUUCUCUGGGACACAUGACGCCUGUCCUGUCGCCCCAGAACCUGCUGUCUUGUGACACCCACCAGCAGCAGGGCUGCCGCGGUGGGCGUCUCGAUGGUGCCUGGUGGUUCCUGCGUCGCCGAGGGUAUGCAGCAACAGGGCACGUGGGCAGAGAAGAGGGCAAGGAGCUCCGUGGGCGUGGCCUGGGCCAUGAUGCACUGAGUCUUUCUGCCUUUGCUCCCUCUUGCUGCCUUUGCAGGGUGGUGUCUGACCACUGCUACCCCUUCUCGGGCCGCGAACGAGACGAGGCUGGCCCUACGCCCCCCUGCAUGAUGCACAGCCGAGCCAUGGGUCGGGGCAAGCGCCAGGCCACUGCCAGCUGCCCCAACAGCCAUGUUAAUAACAAUGACAUCUACCAGGUCACUCCUGUCUACCGCCUUGGCUCCAACGACAAGGAGAUCAUGAAGGAGCUGAUGGAGAAUGGCCCUGUCCAAGGUAAACCCCCUCAUCCAGCACCCUGGUUCCAGAAGCUUGUGCCUGCUUGAGACUGGGCACAGUGGCACAAGUGGUCUGCACAGCAUUCAGCAGCAUGUCCAGUGGGGCUGGGAGUAGGGGGUCCUCCCCUCCCACAGGCAGUGCCUGGAGGGAGCACUUAGAGCUUUGGUAUGGAGGGACCCUGGUGCCUGGGCACACCUCAACAGACUCAGGCACCAGUGCCUGUACCAAUGGGCUGAGUGGACCCUACCUUGACAUCUGCCCACAGCCCUCAUGGAGGUGCACGAGGACUUCUUCCUAUACAAGGGAGGCAUCUACAGCCACACGCCAGUGAGCCUUGGGAGGCCAGAGAGAUACCGCCGGCACGGGACCCACUCAGUCAAGAUCACAGGGUGAGGGGCGUGUGGGCAGAGGGGGUUGGGGACAGCAGGGUUUGUGCGAGGGGCUCUGGAGCCUGCCUUGGGUUCUUACAACCUCUCUAAAGAGCCAGGACUGCUCUCAUCAUUUCAAUAGGGAGAAAACUGAGACUCAGAAAGAGAAAGGACUUGCCCUGGGUCGAACUGAAGGUUGGGAGCCUCUGAAGGCUUUUUUAGGAACCGUUCCUUCCUGACAUCGGGAUAAAAUAACCCCAAUGAAAUAUGAAGAGAGCCUCAGGAGUUUCUCAACUUCUCCCCACCUCAGCACCUGUCCCAGCUCUGCCUGACCCACCGAGUGACCUGGGAGGUUGCUCCCCUGGCCUCAGUUUCCCUAUCCGAUUUAGGGAAUAUAGAUGUUAGGAUCACUGACUUCAAUGAACUCAGUGAAAUGUGCUUUACGGUGGGAAUUGGGGGUCUCUAAGAUACCCAUAUUCUCAGAGUGUCUUUCUUCUGGCCCUUUGCACCUACCCCUCCCUGGAUACCCAAGUGUGGGAGGGCAGGUGGAUGUGUGGUCCCACAGAACGGGCCCCCAGGAGGUGGGUCUCUGGAGGACCCAGGUUCCCUCCUCUUCUGCUCACCUCCCCUCCACUUGUCCCGUUGGUGCCCCACCCCCUCCCGUGCUGGGCCUGGGUACACCGACUUACAGAUGUGAGAGUGAGGGAGAUGCAGAGAGGUACAGAGACCUGCCUGAGCCCUAAGGGUGUACCCAACCCUCCAAAGGCAACUGGGGGCUGGAUGGGGCAGGUUUCCUGGAUUGGAGCUCCUGAGAGCAGGUAGACCCAGCGCCCUUCCCUCUCCCCUGCUCUGCCCGCAGAUGGGGAGAGGAGACGCUGCCAGAUGGAAGGACGCUCAAAUACUGGACUGCGGCCAACUCCUGGGGCCCAGCCUGGGGCGAGAGGGGCCACUUCCGCAUCGUGCGCGGCGUCAAUGAGUGCGACAUCGAGAGCUUCGUGCUGGGCGUCUGGGGCCGCGUGGGCAUGGAGGACAUGGGUCAUCACUGAGGCUGCGGGCACUACGCGGGGUCCGGCCUGGGAUCCAGGCUGAGGGCCGGCGGAAGAGGCCCCAAUGGGGCGGUGACCCCAGCCUCGCCCGACAGAGCCCCGGGCGCAGGCGGGCGCCAGGGCGCUAAUCCCGGCGCGGGUUCCGCUGACGCAGCGCCCCGCCUGGGAGCCGCGGGCAGGCGAGGCUGGCGGAGCCCCCAGACCUCCCAGUGGGGACGGGGCAGGGCCUGGCCUGGGAAGAGCACAGCUGCAGAUCCCAGGCCCCUGGCGCCCCCACUCAAGACUACCAAAGCCAGGACACCUCAAGUCUCCAGCCCCACUACCCCACCCCACUCCUGUAUUUUUAUUUUUUUUUUUUUGACAGGGUCUUGCUCCGUUGCCCAGGCUGGAAUGCAGUGGCCCAUCAGGGCUCACUGUAACCUCCCACUCCUGGGCUCAAGUGACCCUCCCACCUCAGCCUGUCAAGUAGCUGGGACUACAGGUGCACCACCACACCUGGCUAAUUUUUGUAUUUUUUGUAAAGAGGGGGGGAGGUCUCACUAUGUUGCCCAGGCUGGUCUCGAACUCCUGGGCUCAAGCGGUCCACCUGCCUCCGCCUCCCAAAGUGCUGGGAUUGCAGGCAUGAGCCACUGCACCCAGCCCUGUAUUCUUAUUCUUCAGAUAUUUAUUUUUCUUUUCACUGUUUUAAAAUAAAACCCAAGUAUUGAU